UGUGUGUGUGUGUGUGUGUGUGUGUGUGUGUGUAUACACACAUACAUACACAUACGCAUACAUACACAUACACAUAAA
rnacentral:miRNA from 1 species